GUGGAGCUGCAGGGCAUCGGGACCUGAAUGGACAAGGAGCCCUUCCUCACUUGGGACGCUGGCAGAAUCUUGGCAAUUCUGGCUAAAAUUUGUACUGCAUACAUGAAGCUCCAAAUUCAGAAAACAAACUCAGAGUGGACAGCAUUUCAAGUAACUACACAAACAACAAACUUAUAAAGGGAAACAAAGAAACAGCCGUUUGAGGGCAUCUUGUCAUUUUAAAUCCAAAUAUGCUGCUGCUGGACACAACCGCCAACUCAACGUUUACAUUUUCACGUGAAAUUGGCUGCAAACAGAUGCGCAAUUAUACAACCAUGUACCUUUGAAAAGCAUAAGUGGAGCUUCCUACACAUCCAAGAAUGCAGCAAGUGGUUCCUGGAUGGUAAGUCAACAACAAAACACUUGUC